rnacentral:rRNA from 1 species
AGUGAACGCUGGCGGUAGGCCUAACACAUGCAAGUCGAACGGCAGCACAGUAAGAGCUUGCUCUUACGGGUGGCGAGUGGCGGACGGGUGAGGAAUACAUCGGAAUCUACUUUUUCGUGGGGAUAACGUAGGUAAACUUACGCUAAUACCGCAUACGACCUACGGGUGAAAGCAGGGGAUCUUCGGACCUUGCGCGAUUGAAUGAGCCGAUGUCGGAUUAGCUAGUUGGCGGGGUAAAGGCCCACCAAGGCGACGAUCCGUAGCUGGUCUGAGAGGAUGAUCAGCCACACUGGAACUGAGACACGGUCCAGACUCCUACGGGAGGCAGCAGUGGGGAAUAUUGGACAAUGGGCGCAAGCCUGAUCCAGCCAUACCGCGUGGGUGAAGAAGGCCUUCGGGUUGUAAAGCCCUUUUGUUGGGAAAGAAAAGCAGCAGGUUAAUACCCCGCUGUUCUGACGGUACCCAAAGAAUAAGCACCGGCUAACUUCGUG